rnacentral:rRNA from 1 species
AUUGAACGCUGGCGGCAUGCCUUACACAUGCAAGUCGAACGGUAACAGGUCUUCGGAUGCUGACAAGUGGCGAACGGGUGAGUAAUACAUCGGAACGUGCCUAGUAGUGGGGGAUAACUACUCGAAAGAGUGGCUAAUACCGCAUGAGAUCUACGGAUGAAAGCAGGGGAUCGCAAGACCUUGUGCUACUAGAGCGGCCGAUGGCAGAUUAGGUAGUUGGUGGGAUAAAAGCUUACCAAGCCGACGAUCUGUAGCUGGUCUGAGAGGACGAUCAGCCACACUGGGACUGAGACACGGCCCAGACUCCUACGGGAGGCAGCAGUGGGGAAUUUUGGACAAUGGGCGAAAGCCUGAUCCAGCAAUGCCGCGUGCAGGAUGAAGGCCUUCGGGUUGUAAACUGCUUUUGUACGGAACGAAAAGCCCCGGGUUAAUACCCUGGGGUCAUGACGGUACCGUAAGAAUAAGCACCGGCUAACUACGUGCUAGCCGCCGCAGUAA